AUUGAACGCUGGCGGCAGGCUUAACACAUGCAAGUCGAGCGGGGUGAUGGUGCUUGCACUAUCACUUAGCGGCGGACGGGUGAGUAAUGCUUAGGAAUCUGCCUAUUAGUGGGGGACAACAUCUCGAAAGGGAUGCUAAUACCGCAUACGUCCUACGGGAGAAAGCAGGGGAUCUUUAUGACCUUGCGCUAAUAGAUGAGCCUAAGUCGGAUUAGCUAGUUGGUGGGGUAAAGGCCUACCAAGGCGACGAUCUGUAGCGGGUCUGAGAGGAUGAUCCGCCACACUGGGACUGAGACACGGCCCAGACUCCUACGGGAGGCAGCAGUGGGGAAUAUUGGACAGUGGGGGGAACCCUGAUCCAGCCAUGCCGCGUGUGUGAAGAUGGCCUUAUGGUUGUAAAGCACUUUAAGCGAGGAGGAGGCUCUUUUGGUUAAUACCCAAGAUGAGUGGACAUUACUCGCAGAAUAAGCACCGGCUAACUCUGUGCCAGCCGCCGCAGUAA
rnacentral:rRNA from 1 species